UAGGUUCCACCAAGGGAGGUGAGUUAUCCAUUUCAUUGCUUCAUUAUUUAAACACAGAAAAUUUGUUUUAUUCAUCGAUAUCUAUGGAAAAUAUAAGCAUUCAGAAAAAAGCAAGAAGAACAGUUACAGCAUCCGAAAUUAACUUUUUGGUCCAUCAGUAAAGGAAAUUACCCUCUAGUUGGAUUUUUCACCAGCCACAACAUUUGUAAUAUUAGUUAACUUUAAAAAAGGAAGUGAAAUCGGAGUGUUGCAAUCACCCAUGACCAUCCUACUGCAUGGUCACCUUGGCCAAAAGCAGAAAUCAUGGUGGAAAUAUAUCUUUAGAGAGAGAAGGUGUCCGUUAUCCGUUGCACACAAUUGCAGAUCACUUCCCUGGCACUCAACACUCCACUUCAGUUGCGUGAAUUUGGUUUUGUACCUGUCUUUGUAGAAAUGUGUUCCACUGUGCUGAGAGGGCGUUAUGGGAGCUUGUUGUGCAUGAAUGCAGUGGAAAGACUCUCUUCCCAGAGCUGCAAACACCUGCAUCGUCCAGCUGGAAGGGCCAUUGAGGAAGUGGCUUGAGAAAGUUCUGGAGCAUUUGCCCUUUUUUGGCUGGUAGACGACGGGUGAGAUUAAGAUCACGUAAAAUGGCGCGAUCAAUGAGGAUGACCAGAGCCAUCCGAGGUGUGUUUGGUGACGCCCCCGACCCCCCCUUAAAAACCUCAUGUGGAGGGAAGGGGAGGCACAUCAGGGCUGAACUCGGCGGCUCGUUUGGGUGAUGCUCCUCCUCCUCUCUCUGCUUACGAGACGAGCAGCUCGGCUUCAUCUGACAGCGUGGUGCAUUGGUGAGAGAACUUUUCACUUUGUUCUUGAAGAAUAACUAACUGAGGUUCUUUUCUCUGAGAGUUUUAAUGAAGUAUCCUAAGUUCCUCAGUUCCAAACACAGGCAUGGCAAUAUGGAAAUGUCUGAUAGCCGAGGUACUGCUUAGCUUGUCUUUACUUCUUUGACUGCUUCCUUAAUGUGUACUUAUCCUUACAUAAUCAUCAUGCUGUUAUUGUCAUUACUAUCUUGUAUGUUUAAAAGAAAGUAUAACUGUAUUGCUAUGUAAAUAAACACAGAACUUUUUUCCUGCUCAAACUUUUAAAAACUGUCAUGUUUCACCCCAGCUAUGAGGACAAAGUGUGGAGAGCUAAACCUGAUCCUAACAGAAACAUUCGCUGAGUAGACGUAUUAACUUUGCUGCUAAGUGUAUCAGUUAUGGGUGUUUCAUCCUCUAAGUUACAAUCACAGGCAUACAGCCAUGUGUACUAUCAGAUAAUAUUCCCUGUGGCAAAGAAUAUAAAAUAUAAGAAAGAGCUGACAGAGAGAUAUCAAGAGAAGUCCUACCACCAGCAUUAUGAUGGUGCCUCUGGUCCCUGUUGGACAGACACUGUUUAAGGUCAAUAGGAAACAGUGCUGGCACAGGCAGUUGUGUCUGAAACUCUGGGUCUGCUCUCACUACAGGCUUGUUGUGAUUGUAGGUGAAGAACUCCAGACCUGCUUAUCCAACAUGCAGCUGCUGUGUCUCCCUCUCCUUCUGCUCCUCCUGCCUGCCAGCAACACGCAGUUACUGAGUACCUGGACUACUGAUGCUGAUCGUGAGUACAUCACUUUACUAACUCACAGAGUUACUGUCAAUAGAAACAUGCAGACAAAUGCAGUCUAGUUUGGUCUCUGACUCAUUUCUCAUUCUUUAUGCAGGGUGGUUAGCUCACAGUUUCAUCUGCUGGGUCAGCUAUAGAAUAAAAACUGUGGGAGAUGCACACUGACUAUUUUCUUUCUGCAGAAUAUGACAUCGCCACAAAUUACUGUGUGUUCCCCUUCAAGUACAAAGGGGAGGAAUAUGAGUCAUGCAUGACAGCAGACUCUUCCAAAUACAGACCAUGGUGCUCUGUAACCAGUGACUACGACAAGGACGGUCUCUGGGGCUUCUGUAUCGGCGAUCGCACCACAGAUUCCACUGAGGGGGACGCGUGUGUCUUUCCUUUUACAUACAAUGGAAAGUCGUAUUCACAGUGCACCACCGCAGGAUUUUUCCCCGGAGCUCCCUGGUGCGCCACUACCAGCGACUAUGACACAGAUAAAGAGUGGGCUUACUGUCCUACCUCAGGUGUGAGAGUUUACCGCAUUCAUGGUCCUUAACUGCAGAAGUGACAGAGACACAGCUGCCAAGAUUAUGAAAAUGCCGGCUGUAUCGCCAUGAUUCACAGAAGUGAAAGGUGGAUAAUUUGCUGCUUCGUUGCUUCAGUGAUGCUUCCUUGCUUCAGAUAAGAGGACCAUUUUCCCUGUGAUUACACUGAUAUGAUCACUAUCACAACGCCGUGUGUCAUCGCUUGCUUGUUACACAUGCUGAGCCAUAAAGUCCUGUGUUCAAUCCCAGCCGUGUCAACAGCCAAUGAGGAACAGGAGCCCACAGCAGCGCAGCGAAUCAGCUUUGUUCAGCCAGGGACAGGGGCGGGCCGGUCAGAGGGGGCUUCCUCGUCUCACUGCAGGUCACUCGGAUGAUGUCAGCCAAGCCGCACUUCACUCUAGCGAACCUGGCGACUUACAGUGUCUCAGGCCAGACAAGCCAGCUGUGGACGAUCUCCUCUGCUGGAUGAUUGCUUUUGCUGCCAUGUUGGGGUGAGACUAGUCUAGCAUACACAUGGCAAGUCCGAAAUAGGGAAAAUGGCAAAAUAUAAAAAUGCAAACAUGAAGAAAAAGCACUUAAAGAAACAAAGUCUCUCUCACAAUGUAAUGCGCUACUGCUUGCUGUUGAAUAAAACACACUUGAGCAUAUCUGUGUUGACUGAGUGUCUUUAUCAUGGAGUAUGUUUAUGAUAAUGUCAGAACAUGGUGAAAAUUUCAUAAUAAUAUCAAGGCAAGGUCCUGGCAAUAUAGCGCCAUCUCUCCGAGCUCCAUUCUAAACCAAAAUGAGAAACAGGUCAUGGUGUAUAACAAGUGAGGUACAGUGCUAUUAUGACCCCACCUACACACAUAAAUCUGAUACAUAAACAUGUCUGAUCAUGUUUACAAAUUGCAGCCCCAUAACAACGCCACUGCCUUCAAGGAUUGCAGUACUUUGGCAUUUCCUCAACUUCUGAGGACGAAGUGUGAAAAAUGUCGUAAACAUAAACUGAGAUCUACUCAUAGGAAAUUGUCUCAC